AUAAUGGGCCUGUAAAAAAAAUUUAAAUUCUGGAACGCUGUGAAGAAGGUCCAAAAAGGCAGUGAGCAGCACAAACGGACGAUCCAAAGAACGCAACAACCAAACCAAUUUACCUCUUUUUCUCUCUUUCAUCGCCUUUCUCUCUCCAAACCUCUCUUUAUCCAUCUACAGGAUCAUCACCGCUACCAAUAUGUUAUAGAGUGGAGCCAAAACAAAAGUUGUCCUCUGUUUUACUCGUUUCCUCCAUCAAUUUGCAGAGUCUUUUUUUUUUUUAAUUCUCAGUACAUUAAGUGACGAUCUUUGAGGUGGUUUUGGCUUUUACACCGAUGGAAACCAUUUAGAUAAAGCAGAGGAAUCCGAAAGGGACAUUUUUUUUUUUUUGAAAACCGUUGUUUCCAUUUGAUCAUGGCAGUCGCUGAGAAUGCUGGGGCAAAAAUCGGGUCAUCAGGUCAAAAUUUUGAAAACACUGUAGUGUCGUCUGACUCCAAUGUGGUGAUCGAUCCUGAUAAAUCAAAAACCAGGACUGAUUCUGUGACUGCUGCUAAGACUACUAAGGAAGCCAACCUUCAACAAGAAAAACCAGUGGUAGCCAUCGACAGCAAUGGCAAUAGUAACAGUCAGAUGCAAAAUAGGUUUAAUGAAAGGAAUCCGCCGCAGAUGGUGACAAAGACUGAUGGGCUUAAUGGGUUUUGCAAUAUGGAAAAUCGGGUUAAUGGUGAAAUUUUCAAGAAUGAAAUGAGUGAUUUGGUUGAGAUUUUGUCUAAGCUUAACCCUAUGGCUGAGGAAUUUGUACCUCCUUCCCUUGCUAAGUAUCAUUAUCGUAAUCUUAAUGAGAACCAUGAUCAAAACCAAAAUCAAGAUAAUCGCUUUUCGGAGAAUGGGUUUGGAUAUAGUACUGACAAUUUUGUAGUGCACGCUAAUUCCGGCAACGGCAAUAGAAGGAAGAGGAAUAACUUUAGCCAAGGGAAGAGAAGGUUGAAUAAUAGAACGAGCAUUGCACAGCGAGAGGAUGCAAUUAGGAAGACCGUUUAUGUAUCUGAUAUUGAUCUACAGGUUACUGAGGAGCUUCUUGCGGGUCUCUUUCUGAGUUGUGGACCGGUUGUUGAUUGUCGUAUAUGUGGUGAUCCUAAUUCUGUUCUCCGCUUUGCCUUUGUCGAGUUUUAUAAAGAAGAGGAUGCGAAGGCUGCUUUGAAUUUGUCUGGAACCAUACUUGGUUUUUACCCUGUAAGAGUGUUGCCUUCCAAGACGGCAAUUGCUCCUGUUAACCCGACUUUUUUACCCAGGUCUGAGGAUGAGCGGGAGAUGUGCACAAGGACCAUUUACUGUACUAACAUAGACAAGAAGAUUACUCAAGCUGAUGUCAAGCUCUUCUUUGAAUCAGUUUGUGGGGAGGUUCAACGCUUGAGGCUAUUGGGAGACUAUCAUCAUUCAACUCGUAUUGCUUUUGUUGAGUUCACAAUGGCUGAAAGUGCGAUUGCAGCCCUUAACUGCAGUGGUGCCAUUUUGGGAUCACUGCCCUUAAGGGUAAGCCCAUCAAAGACACCUGUUCGCCCCCGUGCCCUUCGCCCUGCAAUGCACUAAAACAUCCUUGCUUGUUUUUUUCUCCUGGACUUAUCAACUGCCAAUAUAUAUGUUUACUCUUACGUAGAUAGAUACAGCAGUACAUUCAAGAUGCCUUAAUCGUUAUGGAAUACACUGUCCAAAAAAAAAAUCGUUAUGGAAUGCUAGAUUAUCGACAAGUUCAGUCUUUUGGUUUGAAUUUCUAAUAGAAGAGUUGCAACUUCAAAGUCAAAUCCAUGUCUCUUUUGAUAGUCGAGUUGGCUUCUUAUUGAAAUAAGUUGUACAUACAUAUUUUUAACCCUGUUUAUUUUUCUCAUGUUGGUAAAAAAUGGUGAUUCCCUUAAAAGGAUAUGGCAGUUUGACUUGAUCAUAUCGUUAAAAUGGGAUUCUUUCGAAGGAUACGGAAAAUAAUUAAUAUUUGAUAUAGCAAGGUAGCAAAUACAUAAGGUCAUGUUGAGUUCAUGAAUUUACGGGCCGCUUGAUAAUUGAACAUUACGUAAAAUUCUCAAAAUGAACUUUGGGUAGAGUUGAAUUCCUUUGGUCUGAAAGGCACUUUAUGUCAGAGCAAUGGUUGUAAGUUUUUCAUUGGAUACAUCUGUUUGCGCAUGAAAUUGAACUGCUGAGACUGAUUGGUAGACCAUUAUUUGUUUGUUUAACAAGUGCCAUAUUAAUUUCAACUACAAAAUAUAAG